ACUAUCAGCCUCGCCGUCUCGACCCUUUUGGAGCCCCCCCCUCUGGUUCACUCAGCCCGGCUACCUCCCUUCUCACAGCCCCGCUCUCGGCGUUCCCUGCGCAGUUUACCUCCCCAGUCCCUCGGUUUCUUCUGGUUCCAUACGUUGUUUUUUCGGCUACCCUCACGGGACACCUUUAGUUAUAAUAAAUUUGCUUUCUUUAUUCCCUCCUA